rnacentral:rRNA from 1 species
GAGUUUGAUCAUGGCUCAGGAUGAACGCUAGCGACAGGCUUAACACAUGCAAGUCGAGGGGCAGCGGUGGUGAAGGCUUGCCUUCACCAGCCGGCGACCGGCGCACGGGUGAGUAACACGUAUGCAACCUGCCUGCCACAGCCGGAUAAUCGGGAGAAAUUCCGUCUAAUACGGCAUAAUGCAUCGACGGGACAUCCUGUUGGUGCCAAAGGUUAAUUCCGGUGGCGGAUGGGCAUGCGUCGCAUUAGUUAGUUGGCGGUGUAACGGACCACCAAGACGACGAUGCGUAGGGGUUCUGAGAGGAAGGUCCCCCACACUGGUACUGAGACACGGACCAGACUCCUACGGGAGGCAGCAGUGAGGAAUAUUGGUCAAUGGGCGGGAGCCUGAACCAGCCAAGUCGCGUGAGGGAUGACGGCCCUAUGGGUUGUAAACCUCUUUUGCCGGGGAGCAAAGUGCCGCACGUGUGCGGUUUGGAGAGUACCCGGAGAAAAAGCAUCGGCUAACUCCGUGCCAGCAGCCGCGGUAAUACGGAGGAUGCGAGCGUUAUCCGGAUUUAUUGGGUUUAAAGGGUGCGUAGGCGGACGCUUAAGUCAGCGGUAAAAUUGCGGGGCUCAACCUCGUCGAGCCGUUGAAACUGGGUGCCUUGAGUGGGCGAGAAGUACGCGGAAUGCGUGGUGUAGCGGUGAAAUGCAUAGAUAUCACGCAGAACUCCGAUUGCGAAGGCAGCGUACCGGCGCCCAACUGACGCUGAAGCACGAAGGCGUGGGUAUCGAACAGGAUUAGAUACCCUGGUAGUCCACGCAGUAAACGAUGAAUGCUAGUUGUCCGGGGCGAUUGAGUUCUGGGUGACACAGCGAAAGCGUUAAGCAUUCCACCUGGGGAGUACGCCGGCAACGGUGAAACUCAAAGGAAUUGACGG